rnacentral:rRNA from 1 species
GGUGAACGCUGGCGGCGUGCCUAACACAUGCAAGUCGAGCGGUGCAGUUUGAAGCUUCGGUGGAAAGCUGCAUAGCGGCGGACGGGUGAGGAAAACGUAGGAACGUGCCCCUUGGAGUUGGAUAGCCACGGGAAACUGUGGGUAAACCGACAUAGACUCGAGAGAGUAAAGGCCGAAAGGCGCCAAGGGAGCGGCCUGCGGCCCAUCAGGUAGUUGGUAGUGUAAAGGACUACCAAGCCGACGACGGGUAGCCGGUCUGAGAGGAUGGCCGGCCACAAGGGCACUGAGAGACGGGCCCUACUCCUACGGGAGGCAGCAGUGGGGGAUUUUGGACAAUGGGCGAAAGCCUGAUCCAGCGACGCCGCGUGGAGGACGAAGCCCUUCGGGUGUAAACUCCUUUCUCAGGAAAAGGAUGAUGGUACCUGAGGAAUAAGCCCGGCUAACUACGUG